UGGUGCCGCGUGGGACAGGCG
rnacentral:misc_RNA from 1 species